rnacentral:siRNA from 1 species
CGAGUGAAUCGGUUGUUGAUGG